rnacentral:rRNA from 1 species
UACGAAGGGGGCAAGCGUUGUUCGGAAUUAUUGGGCGUAAAGAGCUCGUAGGCGGUUUGUCGCGUCUGCUGUGAAAACUCGGGGCUUAACUCCGGGCCUGCAGUGGGUACGGGCAGACUGGAGUGCGGUAGGGGAGAAUGGAAUUCCUGGUGUAGCGGUGGAAUGCGCAGAUAUCAGGAGGAACACCGAUGGCGAAGGCAGUUCUCUGGGCCGUAACUGACGCUGAGGAGCGAAAGCGUGGGGAGCGAACAGG